GGGAUUUGGGGAGGCUGAAGGAGUCGGGGCCCCCACCGCUGUAGCGCUGCUGCCCCCAUUAGGGCCUGGAACCCCGAGCCUCCAGCUCUGCUCGCGGUGCCCCCCAAGGCUGAGGUUUCAGUGUGCAGUCUGCUGAUCCGAAAGAAAGAAGGCGGCUUUUGGAGGACUUAAUCAUUGCGAGUCGAGCUGCUGCUGAACCUCCCCUUCCAACAUCCAGCAGGUGAGGACGUUGUGCAUCUCAGC
rnacentral:lncRNA from 7 species